UUGACACCAACAAAGUUGUGCACAGGUUCCUUGAUAUGUGCACCACCAGUGGGAGGAGCUGUGGCACCGCUGAAGUGAUCUACACAAAAAUCAAUGACACCUUGCAGGAAAAUGACAUCCCUUGGAGAAAUUGUGUAGGUCUCUCUAUUGACAAUGCCCCUGUAAAUACAGGUGCCAGAAAUUCAAUCUCAGCCAGAAUGUUGAAGGAAAAUGGCAGUAUUUACAUCCAUGGAUGCCCCUGUCAUAUCAUCCACAACACUGCCAAACAUGCGGGGCAGAAGUUUAUGGAAAUAUCCGGAUUUGAUCCAGAGGAUCUGACCGUGGAUGUUGGGUACUGGUUUAAAGGAAGCACCAACCGUAAAGGUUACCUGGCAGAUGAGAAACAACCAAGAUUUAGAAGGCUGGUGGAUGCAUUUUCCAACGCCCUGACUGAAGUCUACCUACUCUUCUAUCAAGCGACGCUGCCAGUGUUCACUCUACUGAACCUCCUCUUCCAGAGAGAAAGGUCUUCCAUCUUUCAGCUCCACGGAGAGGUAAAAUGCAAGGGUUAGGCCAUCCUGCUGCCAAAUACAGUAUGUCUGCUUGAAUUGGCUGAUAUGUCCUUUUUCAAGUAAUACAUGGAAAUGUUUUAUGAACUACAAAUUUGCAGAUGACAAAGUUCAUCAAGAAACUGUGUGCGAGGUUCAUGAAGCCGUCAGCACUA